rnacentral:rRNA from 1 species
UACGAAGGGGGCUAGCGUUGUUCGGAAUUACUGGGCGUAAAGCGCGCGCAGGCGGUUCUUCAAGUCAGUGGUGAAAGCCCGGAGCUCAACUCCGGAACUGCCAUUGAAACUGUAGAACUUGAGGAUGAGAGAGGUGAGUGGAAUUCCCAGUGUAGAGGUGAAAUUCGUAGAUAUUGGGAAGAACACCGGUGGCGAGGGCGGCUCACUGGCUCAUUUCUGACGCUCAGGCGCGACAGCGUGGGGAUCAAACAGG